rnacentral:rRNA from 1 species
AUGCCCUCUGAUUUUGAGAAUAGUGUGAAAGAAUUUAUGAUUUCUCAAAAGAAUUUUAAUGCUUUGCUUGAAGAAAAAUUGCUCAAAGUUGAUGAUUUGGCUAGGAACGUUGAUAGACUUUCGCUUGAUGUUAAUUCUCUUAAACUUGGAUCUUCUUCUCCUAAGCAUGAUAUCAAUGAGUCUCUCAAAGUAAUGAUAAUUUCCAUUGACGAGUGCAAGGAAAGAACCGCUAGAUUGCAUGCUAAAAAAGAAAGCUUUAUAAAAGCGUGUUCUUCUAGUUUCCGUGAAAAUAAUGAUGAGGAUCUUAAGGUUAUUGAUGCAUCUCUGAUUAGAUCUAUGUUUUGCAAUAUGAAUUUUGAUGAUUAUGGGAGUGAUGAUGAAUCAACUUUGCCUAGAAGGCGUCCCAAAAAUUCGGAGUCUUUAGAUCUUGAUGUUAAAUUUGGUAAAAGAGAGAUUGGAGAAUCCUCAACUUCUAAUAAUAUUGAACCUACUAUCUCGGAUUGCAAGGAAUUUGAUUAUGAUAAUUGUUCUUUAAAAGGGUGUAUUUCCUUGUUGCAAUCCGUUGUUAAUUCUCCUCAUGCUUAUAAUCAAAAUAAAGCUUUUACCAAACAUAUUGUUGAUGCCUUGAUGCAAUCUUAUGAUGAAAAACUUAAUUUGGAAGUUUCUAUACCUAGAAAACUUAAUGAUGAGUGGGAACCUACUAUAAAGAUUAGAAUUAAAGAUUAUGAGUAUUUUGCUUUGUGUGAUUUGGGUGCUAGUGUUUCCACGAUUCCGAAAACUUUAUGUGAUAUUCUAGUUUUCCAUGAUUUUGAUGAUUGCUCUUUAAAUUUGCACCUUGCGGAUUCCACCAUUAAAAAGCCUAUGGGAAGGAUCAAUGAUGUUCUUAUUGUUGCAGAUAGAAAUUCGGUGCCCGUAGAUUUUAUCAUUCUUGAUAUAGAUUGCAAUCUUUCUUGCCCUAUUAUUCUUGGUAGACCUUUCCUUAGAACGAUUGGUGCGAUUAUUGAUAUGAAGUAA